ensembl:lncRNA
AAUCAAUUAUGAAAUUGAAUUUCCUAAAAUGCUUCUAUGAAAACAGUGAAAUGAAAGCCAGUCAACUAAAACAUGGCAGAAAUCAUCAGAAGCUGUUAAAAACAUCCCAUCCACAAUAUAAACUGCUAUAAACUUUAUGGUAUUUUUUUUUAAAUAUAUUUUUUUGAAAAUUAGCAUUUUGGGUAUCUUUGGGAUAAUCAGUUUUCUGGUUAAAUUUGCUUCUGGUAAAUUGAUUUUUUGGCAACUUGCCCUAGAAUCAAACAAGGGCAAGAGAUGGUGGCUGGAGCGAUGCGAAGGCACUGGAUGGCAAGCCCUCCCUCGGCCGUGGGCAGGGGGUGACUGUCCCGAGAGCAGAGGGACUCCGUGAAGGAAGCUGACUCGGUGUGACUGCACGUGAGAAGAUCUGGAUACAGCCGCAUAACCUUCCCAGGAGAUAACCUGAAAUACAUUUUAAUAUUCCUGAAGGCUGAAACCUAAAUGUAUCUUUGCUUGACCAAAGAUAGUAUAUAUAUAUAUAUAUAUGUAUAUAUAUAUAUAUAUAUGCACACAUAUAUUUAUCUCUUUUUCCUAAAUGAUGGCAGAAGUCAGUUACAACUAAUAAAGGACUGAAAUAUGGUUUUUCUGUUGUGUCAAUGACCUGGUGGACCUAACGGCAUUUCAGAGAGAGACACAGUCAUCUUCACAGCAUUAAAAUGGAAUUUCAGGCAAAUUGUUAUUGACUGGCGUGAACAAUAGAUGAAAUCCUGGAUGUCAAAUGAGAGCAAAAGCUUGAGAGGGCCCCUAAACCUUGAUCUUUUUCUUUGACUUCUCUGUUGAAACAGCAAUCACGCAGUGACUGGGGGAGAGGCGAGCUUCGUAUCAGCUAAAGAUAAUUAAUUCUCAGAGACUAAUAAAUAAAGAUAACAAUAUGUCAUAUUAUGCUUAGCACAUCUGGUACCUCAAAACCGAGAAGCAAAGAAAAACUGAAAUUUGAGUCAGCCAUCCUAACUGGAAAAAUUGCCUCGAACGUGACUCUGAACUGCUUGUCCGUGAAACCAAGCUCUGCCUGCGCCAUCCUCGCCGGCCUUCAGCUCGGGACACGGCGCUGACGCGGUGGGGAAAGGCAGACGAUCGGCUUCCGGGCGGCUGAGGAGUCGGGUGGCACCAACGCUGUAAGUGGGUCAGUAUUUUCUCUCUCCUGCCUCGGUCUUCAAAUGUCAAAGAGCCAGGGAAAGGGCAGAAAAUGUAUUGAAAGUUAAGGACAACAAAAAAGAGCAAGAGGAAAAUUAUGAGCUACUUGUCUUAAGUUGUUGUCAUGAAGAAACCGAAUUUUAGUUAUUAAAAUCAGCAUUUUAGGACUGAGAGGAAAACUGAAAUUCACUUAGUCCAGUUUUCUUACUUUGUAGACGCAGAAGCAAAUGAUCACCUGAAGUGAAAGCAUCGUUUGAAUGAACAUAGAACUUAUCUCCUAAAUAUGGGUUCUGCUGGAGCUAGCCCACUGAUUAUUUUCAGUCUCUUUGAGAUUCCAUCUUUAUAUAAAAAUUCAACUGAGUUUUUUCCCCACAAAAAAAUAUGCUACAUACUUUAAAUAAUGGUCUUUUUUUUUUUAAGGAAAAGGUGUUGCUAUAUCAGGAAGAGGCAUAGAAAUUAAAAUUAUUGGAAAAACUGCUAAACCCUGUACAAAAUGUUAUGAACACAUUCUAUAUACCAGGCAUUGAGUCCAUUGGCUGACCUAACAGAACUGACAGCCCAGUGAAGGAAAAUAGACCCCUGAAUAAAUAUGUAAUAAUCUUAAUAAAAUGUGUCAUGAUUAGGGUAUAUAAAUACUGUGAAAAGAAUUGGAAGUAAAACAUCUUGAAAUAAUAAAAAUCAAUAUAAUUUGGAAGAUUUAUUGUAUUAAUAAAUGACCUUCAUUACAUUUAUCCAAGUCAGGACGACAAAAUGGAUGCUUUAAAUGGUGAAAAGCAGGAGAGAGAAAAAUUGGGCAGUUUUCAUUUCACACACUGUCAUUUCUUUCUUUUUUUUUUUGGUGAGGAAGAUUCACCCUGAGCUAACAUCUGUUGCCAAUCUUCCUUUUUUUU